UGCAGCGUGUCCUGAGAUGCCAGCUCAUCAGCCUCUUCCAGCUGCUGCCGGGAGCCGCGCGGCGGAGUGAAGCUGAGACGCGGAUCUGUUACUACGUCUCCCUCAUCCCUCCAGUCUGACCGUGUUUUAGGGAAUGUCACCCAAGGCCGGAGGAAGCUCCCAGAUUCUGCUCCGGGACCAUCCUCACCUUUUUGUAUUUAGUGUACCCGGGAGAUUUGCCUGUGAGAAUCACUGAAACCAAAGCAAACAACCAAGGCAAAGGACCAGAAAGGAAUUGAUGGGCUAAAGAAAAAGACGAGGGGAGCUUGUUCCUCACAGACAAGCGUAACGAGAUGCUGGAGGCUUUGGCCGUGGAGUUCUGUCCUCCAGGCCACAUCAGCUACGUCAGGAGGAGACAGUGUGGGGAGAAGAAAGGGAUGCAGCAUGCAGAACCGCUGGAUAGAGUGGGAGACUGGCACGGCUCCGGGGCCCCCCUGCCACGAACUCCCCCAUGAAUCUUUAGUUCUUCCAGAAACUGGGAGGAUGCUUCUUCUAGCUCAAAAGCCUGAAGCAAAGGAUCCCAGGUGCGCGGGGCUCCCGGAUGAACCCCAGGAUGCUUUGGGGGAACAGAGCUUCAGGCGGCAGCCAGCCUGGACCCAGGCUGGCUCCUCUCUACAGGGACGUCAAAGCUGAGAUUCAGGGCAGACCCGGGAUUCCAGAGACGGGCCACCUGGCACCUCAUGCCCCGAGCAGUGACCACUUCUCUCCCCCUGCAGGUCACUGGAGGGCAGAGGGCCUCCUGCUCCUCUCAUUUUAAUCCUCUGCAGUCAAGUCAGACUUGGUCCUCACUGAAUUGCAACGUCAUCAUUUGCUUUUCCGGGCAGCCUUAAAAUACUCAAAAUUAGCAGGCCGCCGACAGUCGAGCUGUGUAACUUCUGAUAAAGGGAAGUAACUUUUCUGAGCAUGGGUUUCCUCAUCAGUGACAUAAAAAUAACCUUCCCCUGUCCCCCACCCCUAGGUAUUGUGAGAAUUAUGUAAAAAUGCCCAGCACCACUGCAGGCACGUAGUAGGUCUUC